UACGUAGGGUGCAAGCGUUGUCCGGAAUUAUUGGGCGUAAAGAGCUCGUAGGCGGUUUGUCACGUCGGAUGUGAAACCCCGAGGCUUAACCUCGGGCCUGCAUUCGAUACGGGCUGACUAGAGUUCGGUAGGGGAGACUGGAAUUCCUGGUGUAGCGGUGAAAUGCGCAGAUAUCAGGAAGAACACCCGUGGCGAAGGCGGCUCUCUGGGACGGUACUGACGCUGAGACGCGAAAGCGUGGGGAGCGAACAGG
rnacentral:rRNA from 1 species